GAUUAGAAGCGGCUGAAAAGCAUUUCUCACACUCAGAACAAAAAUAUAUUUUUUUAACAUUCUCUCCACUUUGAACGAAAUGACGUUUGGGAAGAGAUUUUGUAUGAGUAGGUUUUUCAUGUACGAUACAGGAACAUGAUUUAGAUCCUUGGUAAGUUUUGCGAGAUCCAAUAGUGUGUAUGUAGGGGGAACAGUCAAUCCAUAUCUGCCAAGUGACCCUAUGUAGGAGGAACAGUCCCUAUUCUGCUCUGUGUCAGUGUGUAUC